CACACACACACUUAGAGAGGACAGAGAGGACAGGUGAAGGUAGAGAAUGACAAAAUUGGCCCUGUCCACCAUUGCUCUUCCUAGAUAAACUAGGAACAACCAGCAAAAGUCUCCAACUGCCACAAUGUAAACAGACAAAAGAUUCUAUUGAUUUUCAAGCAAAAAACCAAUAAAAAUUAAAUUCUAUAGAAGACAAAAAGAAGACUUUAGAGCUGGAGAAGCAGAAAUAUUUGAUAUUUCAUGUUCCUAAAAAGUUACAUGCUGCAGAAAAGCUCCUUCUUGAUCCUCUUUUAAUCUCAAAGUUCCCACUGUUUAGUCUUUUAGACUCCUUACUAUGAGAACACCAGCAUAUAAAACUUCCAAAUGCACCCCAAAAAGGUCUGAGUUUCUCAGUACAAUCCCUGAACUUAAAUCAGGUAAAUGGGAUAAAAGCGGAUGAGCAUGGACUCAAUGCUGUGGUUGUCCAGCAUUCAGAGUUGGUGACUUGUAUAAAUGGUUGUGAUUGCAUGGGGAAACAUGAGGACCGUUUGGUAUGGUGAGGUUCCUGGUUGGUUGCACAUUCCUCGACAUCCCUUGACAUGCUUUGCUUCCAGUUCGAGUUCUAGGAUUUGAGCUGCCACGCUCUGCUUGCAUGGCCUGAAAGUAGGAUGAAGAACAGGCCAUGUCCUUGAGGUGGGGCAGAGGUUUUAAGACUUCAACAAUUUCACUCAUCAGAGGUCUGGCUUUUGCAUCACGGUUGAGGCAGUGAGCAGCCAACUGUAUUGCCUUCUGAGCACCCUUGAUUGAGAACUGUCCUUCAAGGCGAGGAUCUAUCAGUCGGUAGAACCUUCGCGUCUCCCCAAGAUACGGUCGUGCCCAUUCCACCAAAUUACGUUCACCAUUUGGCCGGUUUUUGUCCAUGGAUCUUCUGCCAGUUAACAGUUCAAGUAAAACCACCCCAAAGCUAUAAAUAUCGCUCUUGGAGGUAAGAUGUCCUGUCAUCACGUAUUCAGGCGCUGCAUAACCAUAUGUUCCCAUGACACGUGUAGACACAUGAGUCUUAUCUCCUUCAGGACCAUCUUUGGCAAGCCCAAAAUCAGAAAGCUUGGCAUUGUAAUCAGCAUCUAGCAGGAUGUUAGAUGUUUUAAAAUCUCGAUAUAUCACUGGCCGUUCAGCUUCCUCAUGAAGAAAUGCAAGGCCCUGUGCAGCACCGAGUGCAAUCUUCAUUCUGGUGGACCAAGGGAGAGGCAGGGACCUUCUGAAGAGGUGAUUCUCCAAGCUUCCUCGGGGCAUAAACUCGUAAACAAGCAGCCUUUGAUCAUCCUCAAUGCAGUACCCAAUUAACUUAACCAAAUUAGGAUGGAGAAGGUCACCAAGAUAAUUAACUUCAGCAAGCCAUUCUUUAUGACCCUGAAGUCCAUCAUGG
rnacentral:misc_RNA from 1 species